AACAAUAGAGUUUAGAGACUCAUGCCGUCAGAGAAUACAAAGUUUUGAUCUAAAUGUCAUGAGAUACAAAAUAAGUCUCUAAAAGUUGUUUAAAUACUAAACUAGUAGCCUAGGUUUACAGAAAAUGAGUAAACUCCGAUAAAUGGUGCAGAGAUCCACUUUUGGGGCCCACUUGGUGUGUGCUGGGGCUGAGACUUAAGCAAUUCACGUGUAUAAAGCUGUUUUGGGCGUUCAACGCCAGGUUUGGAUCCAUUUCUGGCGUUGAACUCCAACUUUUGAUCCUUUUCUGGCGCUGGACGCCAGAAUUGGGCAAAGAACUGGCGUUGAACGCC
rnacentral:lncRNA from 1 species